GAGGAAAAUAAUCACAGAGAUACUGGAUACCCUCAUUGGUAAGGUACCGGUAGAAAUGUCUCCAGGCAAACUGUUCCUUCACGUAGCCUCGGGACUUGAGAGGCUACAUGGCCUUCAUCUGCCCCCAGAGAUUGUGCCUGCCACCCUACGCCACAGCUGUCCAGAGACUGGCAGGCCUUGAUCUAAAGGUCUGGAGGGUGAAUGAUCUGCAAGACUC